rnacentral:antisense_RNA from 1 species
GAGGGAGCUUGCUCCCGCUGGACUGCGCAGCAGGCCUGUUUUUGGGCUUGCUUUGCAAUCCAGCGGGAGCAAGCUCCCUC